AGAGUUUGAUCAUGGCUCAGAUUGAACGCUGGCGGCGUGCUUAACACAUGCAAGUCGAGCGGUAACAGGCGUAGCAAUACGUGCUGACGAGCGGCGAACGGGUGCGUAAUACAUGGGAAUCUGCCUAGUAGUGGGGAAUAACCCGGCGAAAGCCGGGCUAAUGCCGCAUACGAUCCACGGAUGAAAGCGGGGGACCUUCGGGCCUCGCGCUAUUAGAUGAGCCCAUGUCGGAUUAGCUAGUUGGUGAGGUAACGGCUCACCAAGGCGACGAUCCGUAGCUGGUCUGAGAGGACGGCCAGCCACACUGGGACUGAGACACGGCCCAGACUCCUACGGGAGGCAGCAGUGGGGAAUAUUGGACAAUGGGGGAAACCCUGAUCCAGCGACGCCGCGUGUGUGAAGAAGGCCUGCGGGUUGUAAAGCACUUUCGGUGGGAACGAAAUAUGCCGGGCUAAUACCCCGGUAGGCUGACGUACUCAAUAAGAGCCC
rnacentral:rRNA from 1 species